AUUCUUAACAGGCAUUGCAAGUUUACUUUGAACAAAUCAGAGUGCUUCAAACAGGCGUUUUCGCUUGAAUGAUCGUGCAUGGAAUAAUAGAAAACGAUUUCGGUUCAGUUUUAUUGGUUUUACGGACUGAGAUAAUGGUUAACAGAGACAAACGGGGGCAUUUGUAUGGCCCCGUGAGAGGUGAAAUUCUUGGACCGUGGCCAGACAAACUACAGCGAAAGCAUUUGCCAAGAAUGUCUUCAUUAAUCAAGAACGAAAGUCAGAGGUUCGAAGGCGAUCAGAUACCGCCCUAGUUCUGACCGUAAACGAUGCCAACUAGCGAUCCGCCGAUGGAAAUUAUAUUGCCUUGGUGGGGAGCUUCCCGGAAACGAAAGUCUUCCGGUUCCGGGGGAAGUAUGGUUGCAAAGCUGAAACUUAAAGGAAUUGACGGAAGGGCACCACCAGGAGUGGAGCCUGCGGCUUAAUUUGACUCAACACGGGGAAACUCACCCGGCCCGGACAAUGUGAGGAUUGACAGAUUGAUAGCUUUUUCAUGAUUCAGUGGAUGGUGGUGCAUGGCCGUUCUUAGUUCGUGGAGUGAUUUGUCUGGUUUAUUCCGAUAACGAGCGAGACUCUAACCUACUAAAUAGCUGGUACAUAAUUUAAGUGUAUACAGCUUCUUAGAGGGAUUUGCGGUGUUCAGCCGAAAGAAAUUGAGCAAUAACAGGUCUGUGAUGCCCUUAGAUGUCCGGGGCUGCACGCGCGCUACACUGGCAAAAUCAACGUGCUUGUCCUACCCCGAAAGGGGCGGGUAAACCAUUGAAAAUUUGCCGUGAUUGGGAUCGGAAAUUGCAAUUAUUUUCCGUGAACGAGGAAUUCCAAGUAAGUGUGAGUCAUCAGCUCGCGUUGAUUACGUCCCUGCCCUUUGUACACACCGCCCGUCGCUGCCCGGGACUGAGCCAUUUCGAGAAAUUUGGGGACCGUUGAUUUAAUUUUUCUAAAUUACUUUGAUGGAAACCAAUUUAAUCGCAGUGGCUUGAACCGGGCAAAAGUCGUAACAAGGUAGCUGUAGGUGAACCUGCUGCUG
rnacentral:rRNA from 1 species